AUCCAGCUGAUGAGUCCCGAAAAGGAUGAAACGCGCGUCCUGGAU
rnacentral:hammerhead_ribozyme from 1 species